GAGUUUGAUCGUGGCUCAGGACAAACGCUGGCGGCGUGCCUAACACAUGCAAGUCGAACGGGCGAAGAGGGGAGCCUGCUUUCCUCAGAGCUAGUGGCGGACGGGUGAGUAACGCGUGAGUAACCUGCCUUGGAGAGGGGAAUAACACAAAGAAAUUUGUGCUAAUACCGCAUAUGGUGGCAGUACCGCAUGGUACAGCCAUGAAAGAUUUAUCGCUCCAAGAUGGACUCGCGUCCGAUUAGCCAGUUGGCGGGUAACGGCCCACCAAAGCAACGAUCGGUAGCCGGACUGAGAGGUUGAACGGCCACAUUGGGACUGAGACACGGCCCAGACUCCUACGGGAGGCAGCAGUGGGGAAUAUUGGUCAAUGGGGGAAACCCUGAACCAGCAACGCCGCGUGAAGGACGAAGGU
rnacentral:rRNA from 1 species